rnacentral:rRNA from 2 species
UUAAUUUGAGAGUUUGAUCCUGGCUCAGGACGAACGCUGGCGGCGUGCCUAAUACAUGCAAGUCGAACGAACUCUGGUAUUGAUUGGUGCUUGCAUCAUGAUUUACAUUUGAGUGAGUGGCGAACUGGUGAGUAACACGUGGGAAACCUGCCCAGAAGCGGGGGAUAACACCUGGAAACAGAUGCUAAUACCGCAUAACAACUUGGACCGCAUGGUCCGAGCUUGAAAGAUGGCUUCGGCUAUCACUUUUGGAUGGUCCCGCGGCGUAUUAGCUAGAUGGUGGGGUAACGGCUCACCAUGGCAAUGAUACGUAGCCGACCUGAGAGGGUAAUCGGCCACAUUGGGACUGAGACACGGCCCAAACUCCUACGGGAGGCAGCAGUAGGGAAUCUUCCACAAUGGACGAAAGUCUGAUGGAGCAACGCCGCGUGAGUGAAGAAGGGUUUCGGCUCGUAAAACUCUGUUGUUAAAGAAGAACAUAUCUGAGAGUAACUGUUCAGGUAUUGACGGUAUUUAACCAGAAAGCCACGGCUAACUACGUGCCAGCAGCCGCGGUAAUACGUAGGUGGCAAGCGUUGUCCGGAUUUAUUGGGCGUAAAGCGAGCGCAGGCGGUUUUUUAAGUCUGAUGUGAAAGCCUUCGGCUCAACCGAAGAAGUGCAUCGGAAACUGGGAAACUUGAGUGCAGAAGAGGACAGUGGAACUCCAUGUGUAGCGGUGAAAUGCGUAGAUAUAUGGAAGAACACCAGUGGCGAAGGCGGCUGUCUGGUCUGUAACUGACGCUGAGGCUCGAAAGUAUGGGUAGCAAACAGGAUUAGAUACCCUGGUAGUCCAUACCGUAAACGAUGAAUGCUAAGUGUUGGAGGGUUUCCGCCCUUCAGUGCUGCAGCUAACGCAUUAAGCAUUCCGCCUGGGGAGUACGGCCGCAAGGCUGAAACUCAAAGGAAUUGACGGGGGCCCGCACAAGCGGUGGAGCAUGUGGUUUAAUUCGAAGCUACGCGAAGAACCUUACCAGGUCUUGACAUACUAUGCAAAUCUAAGAGAUUAGACGUUCCCUUCGGGGACAUGGAUACAGGUGGUGCAUGGUUGUCGUCAGCUCGUGUCGUGAGAUGUUGGGUUAAGUCCCGCAACGAGCGCAACCCUUAUUAUCAGUUGCCAGCAUUAAGUUGGGCACUCUGGUGAGACUGCCGGUGACAAACCGGAGGAAGGUGGGGAUGACGUCAAAUCAUCAUGCCCCUUAUGACCUGGGCUACACACGUGCUACAAUGGAUGGUACAACGAGUUGCGAACUCGCGAGAGUAAGCUAAUCUCUUAAAGCCAUUCUCAGUUCGGAUUGUAGGCUGCAACUCGCCUACAUGAAGUCGGAAUCGCUAGUAAUCGCGGAUCAGCAUGCCGCGGUGAAUACGUUCCCGGGCCUUGUACACACCGCCCGUCACACCAUGAGAGUUUGUAACACCCAAAGUCGGUAGGGUAACCUUUUAGGAACCAGCCGCCUAAGGUGGGACAGAUGAUUAGGGUGAAGUCGUAACAAGGUAGCCGUAGGAGAACCUGCGGCUGGAUCACCUCCUUUCUAAGGAA